AAGAAGUUAGUCUAACAAAAGAUUUCUGAUUUCGACUCAGCUGAUUACAGUUAAAAUCUGUAACUUCUUU
rnacentral:tRNA from 1 species